GCCCGAUUAGCUCAGCUGGUUAGAGCGUCGUACUAAUAUUCACUCAUUCAUGAGUAAUAUACAGUCCAUGCGAAGGUCAACAGUUCAAUCCUGUUAUUGGGCA